GAGAGAACGAGAGAGAGAGAAAGAGAGAUUGAGAGGUUUGACUUGUUGGAGUCAGGGAAGGUGAAUUUGAAGCCUCAUAGGUUAUAGGGACCCUGAAAAGAUACCUUACUGCUUCAUAAGCCAACCUGUUGCUCUGUGUCCAGUGGUGAGAAUCAGAAAAAACUGAGUUCAAGUCCUGCCUCCCAUACUUACAAUUUGUGUGACCCUUAUCAAGUCUUAACAACUCUCCCCAAUGUCAGUGCCAGAUUGGGCUAAUUAAACAUAAUGCUGAGAGGGUUUUCUCAGGUCUCUCCUAUCUAUAUUUGAGAGGAAACAACCUUGGAAGGGCACAGACCAGCCAAGGAUUGGCCCAAAUUAGAGUACGCCACAAUGGGAAGGUAGUGGAUUCCACAGGAAGAAGCAGACCUCAGCAGCAUGGAAUAUAUCUUUCAGUUUCUCAGGAUUACUGGGGCAAAUUGUGUUGUAUAAGAAAAUGUACACACGAGACCACCCCUGUGACUGUUACAGGAGAGACUGAUAGAUCCCCAAAUAUGCCUUGGGCCAGGGAAGCUAUUAGCUAGGAGCAGGACACCAAAGGUGAAAAGCCAGAGUGACUGGCGAUCAAGAACAAGUUUUCCUUUGGGUUACUCGGAACUUUUCUUCCUAUUUACAUUAAAGGUAGUUUGCAUUCUGUGUGGAAUUUAGGUCCUGCUGAUAUUCCCUUGCAUCCACCACACAAAGACAUUUGGGAAGGUCCUAUCUCAGGCAGAACAGCUAGAGUUUUUCCGCAGGGCAGAUGGUGACUUUAGAAGGGACGGAGAACCUGCAGAACUUCAGUGCACUGGCAAUGAGCUCUUUCUUUAUCCUUCCCUGGCUGCAUGGCAUCCUCCUCAACAAUGGCUUCACAGCAGUUUUCUGGGGAUUCCAUCUAGGUGGUUCAAGGGUAAGAGCCCUGGGCCUGGAGUCAAAAAGACCUCUGCUCAAAGCCAGCCUCUGGCACUUAGUAAGCAUGUGACCUUGGGCAAGGACAAGUCAGAGUUUCCAAGUCAAGCAUUCCUUGCUCUUUGUGCCUCUUCAGUAAGACUGACUAUCCAUCUGAACGGGUCCCUGAUCUUAGAGUCGUCUGAGGCGCUAAGAGGUCAGAUGCCGUGACCGUGGUCAGGCUGCUGGCAUGGGUCGAAAGCAAGAUUGCAGCCUUCCUGACUUUGAAACUGGCCCUCUAGCCUUAGUUCUUAAGACACAGUUCAAGCAUCAACUACAUCAUGAAGUCUUUCUUGAUUCCAACUGCUAUAAGCCUUGCUCCCAGACUCCGUGCAUUUUGCAUUUGUAUUUAUUCUUCAUGUACAUUUAUACAUUUUCUGUCUUGUUAGAACCUAAGCUUGUCUUGUUAGGGACUGUGUCUUUAAGAGUGUUUGCAUCUCCAGAACCUAGCACUAUGAUGUGCAUGUGCUUGUUGUUUGUUACUUAGCCCAUGUGCCUUUGUAUGUGCCCAGCACAUUGGAGGAGUAAAUCCAUAGCUCUUGACUGAAUGAAUACAUUACUGAGCUAAAAUAAUUAUUAGUGAUUACAGUUAUUCAUAAUUUUCCUCAGGUGUCAGUUUAUUCUUUCAUUUAUCAUAGCUAAACCAUGUAUUUUCUUAUAGUUCAAUUUACUCGGUGGUAUGAGGUAUUGAUCUUCUAUCAAAAUUCUGCCAAACUGCUUUGGAUUUAUGCCAUCUAUUUUUACCAACUAUAGAUAGUUCUCGCUUUCUGUAAGUGGACUGUUGGGUAAAGCUUUAGUGGAGCAAUUUUAAAGUAAAGUGAAUUUAGCCCCAGACUUGGCUUCAAGGGAGAAAAGGAGACAGGAAGGGAGUCAUGAGUCUGGGAAAGGAGGGGGCCAGGAGAUGAUUCAAGGACACAUGGACCUCGCGCACUGAGAAGCAAGAGCAGGCUUGGGACCAGGCAGGUGUAGCCAGCCACCGCCCCACAAAGGAGAGGACAGGUAACAUGUGGACUGAGGAAAGACACAUGACACCUGAGCGUGGAUGGACAGGAGACACACAAGCAGAUGCCAGACAGGAGGAUAAGUGGGCAGAGCCACCAAAAGGCUCCCUUCUUAGUGCUGGAGGUCUCAAGCCAAGCCCAGAUGCUGAAGCUGCAGAGGUGGAAGGAAUCACGCUGCAUGAAAAAUCCUUUUUGUUCCUCCUCCCUACUUUUUCAUUAAUACAUUAUAGAUAAAAAUAUGCAAGGCUGUUUUCUCUUUCUUACAUCACAGUAUCCCACGUAUCCCUCCCUCUCCUUGUGCCUCCUGAGAGUCAUGCCAUGUGAUGAAUGGUAUUUUGUGUUUUAGGAAUGAAAAAAAUCAACACAACUAUAUAAUCCAGAGAGGAAAAGAUAUUUGUGGUAGGAGAUAAUCUUUCUGGGAACAUUCCUAUUCCUGGAGGAUCACUGUCUCUUGAAGCACUUCUGAUCUCUAAACAUGACUGAAACGAUGCCUUCUAUUGGAGAUAAUCUUUCUGCAAACACUCCUCUUUCUGGAGCUUCUUCUUUCUUAAAGCACUUCUAAUCUGUGAAUAUUCAGAGGAAAAGACACUUGUGGAUGGAGGAGAUAAUCUUUCUGGAAGCAUUCCCAUUUCUGGAGGCUCACUGUCUCUUGAAGCACUUCUGAUCUCUAAACAUGACUGAAAGAAUGCCUUCUAUUGGAGAUAAUCUUUCUGCAAACACUCCCAUUUCUGGAGCUUCGUCUUUCUUAAAGCACUUUUAAUCUCUGAAUAUUCAGAGGAAAAGACACUUGUGGUAGGAGAUAAUCUUUCUGGAAGCAUUCCCAUUUCUGGAGGAUCACUGUCUCUUGAAGCACUUCUGAUCUCUAAACAUGACUGAAACGGUACCUUCUAUUGGAGAUAAUCUUUCUAGAAGCACUCCUCUUUCUGGAGCUUCGUUCUGGGUUGAAGAACUUCUGAUCUCUGAAGAUUCUGAGGAAAAGACACUUGUGGAUGGAGGAGAUAAUCUUUCUGAGAACCUUUCACUUACUACUGGCUUACUCUCAGGGGAAGCACAUCUAACAUCAGAGUAUUCUGUGGAUGAAAUGCUGAUGGGUGAAGACAUACUCUAUGAGAACCUUUUAGUUACUACUACUCUCAGAACUCAGAGGAAAAGACAAUUGUGGAGGAAGACACUCUCUCUGGGAACAUUGUGGUGUAAGAGAGAGACUGGGAAGGCCUUCUGGGCAAAGAAACCAACCUUUGAGAGAAACAAUGGUGGGCUCUAUGGUCCGUCCAGUACGGUCUGAGACCUCACCUUGUUUCCCUUAAUAAGGGUCGGUUCCUUUGCCCAGAGAGGCUUUCCAGUUUCUGUCUUACACCCGUUACUUCAGGAUUGCUCUCUAUGGAAACACAUCUAGACUGACAUCACUCAGCGGACAAGAUCUCUGUGGCAGGAGACACUCGUUCUGGCAACAUCCCACUUACUACGGGCUUCCUCUCUGGGGAAGCACAGCAAGAGAAAAAUUGGACAUUUAAUGAAAUAGAGGCCGCUGAAGCAUUCCUGAUGAAAAGACAAGCGCUGAGAAGAAAAUCUGACUCUCAAAUUGAAGACUCAAAAGCAGCAUUCAAAGG